CAACCAAAGCUGGCGACCGGCGCACGGGUGAGUAACACGUAUCCAACCUGCCUCAUACUCGGGGAUAGCCUUUCGAAAGAAAGAUUAAUAUCCGAUAGCAUAUAUUUCCCGCAUGGGUUUUAUAUUAAAGAAAUUCGGUAUGAGAUGGGGAUGCGUUCCAUUAGUUUGUUGGGGGGGUAACGGCCCACCAAGACUACGAUGGAUAGGGGUUCUGAGAGGAAGGUCCCCCACAUUGGAACUGAGACACGGUCCAA
rnacentral:rRNA from 1 species